rnacentral:tRNA from 1 species
GGGGUUUUAUUAUAAUUGAAGUAUAAUUAAUUGCAGAUUAUUAGGUUUAAAUCCUUG